rnacentral:rRNA from 1 species
GACGGAGGGGGCUAGCGUUGCUCGGAAUGACUGGGCGUAAAGGGCGCGUAGGCGGAUGGCACAGUCAGAUGUGAAAUUCCCGGGCUUAACCUGGGGGCUGCAUUUGAUACGUGUUGUCUUGAGUUCGGAAGAGGGUCGUGGAAUUCCCAGUGUAGAGGUGAAAUUCGUAGAUAUUGGGAAGAACACCGGUGGCGAAGGCGGCGACCUGGUCCGACACUGACGCUGAGGCGCGAAAGCGUGGGGAGCAAACAGG